rnacentral:rRNA from 1 species
UACGGAGGGUGCAAGCGUUGUCCGGAUUUAUUGGGGUUAAAGGGUGCGUAGGCGGUUAAUUAAGUCAGUGGUGAAAUCCUGGAGCUCAACUUCAGAACUGCCAUUGAUACUGGUUGACUUGAGUACAGACGAGGUUGGCGGAAUUGAUGGUGUAGCGGUGAAAUGCAUAGAUACCAUCAAGAACACCGAUUGCGAAGGCAGCUAACUAGGCUGUAACUGACGCUGAGGCACGAAAGUGUGGGGAUCAAACAGG